ensembl:lncRNA
AUCAUGAGAAAGAAGGCUGCCUAAGGCAGCAGGCUGGUCCCCCUCGAUCUCCCCUCCGGGAUGCUGCCUCCUCCUGGGGGCCUCUGGUGGCUAAGGCUGAAGCACAGCCUGGAAACAAUGCCGCGUCUGCAGAGAAGGCCUCUCCUUCCACCAGCCCCGUCUGGGAGGCACGGCAGGCCAAAGGCUGUUUAUUCUAUCUUCCAGAUGAGGAAACCGAGGCUCAGGAAGGGGGAGGAUUAGCUAAGGUCACAUGGCUAAGGUCAGGCUAGGACUGGAGAUGAGUCACAUUCAACAUUUUUCUGCAAAGAUGCAAAGAGGCAUUUUAGGGGGAGGCUAAGACAAUGCCUUGAAAUUCAUGGCGAAGGUCUCUGGCCUGGGCCAUCGGAACCCACGGUAAGCCAGCUCUCCCACGAUGAAUCAGCCUGUCAAGAGCCCUGCUUUCCAGAGCAAGACCCACCCAGGGGAUCCUGUUUCCAGAAGCCCAGCCCAUUUCUCACUUCAUUUGCAUGUAUCCGCAUCAAGUACAACCUAUUCACAGAUACACUGGGAGGGGUUGAAGGGGGAGUGCCAGACUGGAGGUGUUGGUGCGAGCCUGUGGCCUGAGCAUGCUGGUUCUGAAGCAUCCCAGAAGGCAGGGUCCUUUUCCUUCCCAGAGUUGGGGGAAGGCCUCAAUUUGAAGACUAAGGCUCUACUCCCAGUUCCCUCUGGCCACUUGGGAAUGCCACCCAAAGCAGAGAUAAGUGUGGUCCACCCUUCCCCUGCAGAAGAGGCGACAAGUACCAGAGCUGAAAAUUGAAAAGCCUUCUGGAGAGUGGGGUGCUGAGGGGCGCCAAUGCAUGAAGGCCAGAAGGAAGGAGAGCCCUGAGCUGCUGUCCUUGAUGGGGUGCUGGGUGUCCCCGAUACUCAGGAAUGACAUGCAUAGGUCCUGGCCCCUGCCCCCACAACCCUGGCGAACUCUAGGGCAUGUGCUGGGGCUCUUCUCCCCCUCCCAUCAGGCUGCCUGGCAGGCAAACGGAUACUGCACUUCUCAACCUGUGCCACCUGGUGCCAUCCUCUCCCUCUAGAAGCAGUGAGCUGGGGAAGAGCCAACAGCAUCUGGGGCCACUUAAGGGGAGCGGGUGUCUGGGGGCACCCUAUGUGAGACUCUGUUCCCUCAUAACAUAAGCUAACAUACCAGCAGGAGAUAUGGGACAGGAGGACAGACCUAUCGCUUGUGGAGGCCCUGCUCCCCUGGAGCUGUGUUUACACGGUACCAGGGAGGGAAAACCUUGUGUGGCCAAGCUGUUGGCUGGGGCCACUACCACACGCCACCAGUGGGCAGUGAUGGGACCAGCAUCUUGGGAAGUCUCCUGCAAAGGAUUCCUUUGGUUUCUGAGGCAUUCCGUGGGCAAGCUGUUAAACCCAAAGCAGACCACAGCAGGCUUAUGGGGUGAGUUGGCAGGACUGCACCGUUGGCCACUAGGAGUGUAGGUCCCCAGGCCCCCAGCCCAGGCCCAGAGUGACCACCAGCCUCUCUCCCCUCUGCUCUUGAUGGGGACACCUUAUACCACCAAACUUUUUUUUCCAGCAGUUACUGAGAAAGGCCCUCUUGUGGGCACGUUACUGGAGUUCAACCACCCCAGGACUCAGAGAUUCCUGAAAUAUCUGGUUGUAACUAGCUCAUGAGAAUCUCAAGUCUUCAAAUGCAACCCUCAUUAAAGAGAAAACCCAUUAUCUGACUGAUUCACUGACUAUGCCAUCCAAGUCAGGAAGGAAGGAGGGAAGGAAAGAAGGAAGGAAGGAG